UAAUAAGAAAAAGAAACAAAAGUAAUGCAUAAAGAAAAAAACAAAAUAAGUUAAUUUAGUUAAAAAGUAAACGUAGAAAAGAGUAAAUUAGGCGCAUGGAAGUAAGCCAUGUAUAAGAAAAAGAACGCUUUAUGUAUAAAAACAAUGCGCAAAAUACAAUAAAAUUUAAAAUUUGAACAUAACUUUUUUCAGCAGGGAAAAAAUAGCGCAAAAGAAAAAUAAAAUAUAAAGGUAAUAGGGUUAAUUAAGUUUUAAAAAAAACAAACAAAUUUAGCGUGUAAAAUUAAUACAUAAAAAAGUUAACGUGAAAAAUAAAUGCCUAAGAAGAGAAGCGUAAAUAUAGGGUAUAAGGAAAAAAAAAUUAUAAAAUGUACGGUAAGCGAUAGCGAAAUAAAUAAAAGCAAUGCGUAAAAUUAAUAAUAAGAAAAAGAAACAAAAGUAAUGCAUUAAGAAAAAAACAAAAUAAGUUAAUUUAGUAAAAAAGUAAACGCUUAGGUUAAAGAUUCCUAUAAUGUUGCAUACGUGUUUCUGUCAUAAUAAUCAAUAUUUGAUAUUUUUCAGCCAUUGAAAACUUCACGAAAUAAAUACAAAUUCAACCAAGAUUCGUCAUCUUAGCUUUUUGAAGCCAUUGAAAACUUCACGAAAUAAAUACAAAUUCAACCAAGAUUCGUCAUCUUAGCUUUUUGAAGUCACUGAAAACUUCACGAAAUAAAUACAAAUUCAACCAAGAUUCGUCAUCUUAGCUUUUUGAAGG